CUGGGCCCCGCCUCCCGAGGCCGGUGCGCGUGCGCGCGCGCGCGCGCGCGUCGCGGCCGGGGGACUCGCUUGUUUUCUCCUUUACUCUUUGCUGUUUUUUUCUUAUUCUCUUUUUUGGGGGCUUGAGUGUCGAGCGGAGCUGGAAAGGCUGGCAGGGUAUCAAAAACCCACAUCCACAAAUGCAUGGUGGGGGGAGAGAGAGAGAGGCUGGAGAACCGCCUCCCCCCGUGUUCACGCGUGGACUCGGCGCUGUUUACUGCUUGCUCGCUCGCCAGAGGCUGACAGCAGAGCUGAGCGCGGGUCUGUGUGGCUGAGAUGCCAGGUGCGGGGAAGUGACCGAAGGAGAUGUUUCCUGACAUCGUUGUGGGUGUUUUUUGUUUUUGUUUUUUUGACGUGUAAUAUCUAUAGGUGGCACAGCGAAAUGUAAAUAAAAGAACCUGUGACUGCGCUAAUCCCGUCCUAUAUGUAUUCUAAUUCUCCCUUCUCGCGAUAGAAUCACGUUUCUUUGGCUGCAGAAUGAAGACAUCAAAAUGUAAAAUAGAAAUAUUAAUGUUUACUUGAUGAAUAUGACCUUGACAUUUUAGUUCCCGGGGUUUGAUUUUGUUUUUGUGGGUCAGCUCCAUUCAGCUGUUACCACCAGCAGUCCAAAACCAAAUCAUACCAGCUCUAGAGGCAGAAAGAAUACUGCUGUUGCAAUUUUGCAAUCUCUUUCUCAAUGCAUGCUCCAGGUCACGGGUAUAUUAGCAGUGUUCAGUGUUGUUUUUCCUACAGGGCUGUUGUUUAGCACACUAAGCACGUUGUGUAGGGUUGCAAUUAAUCUUAGACCCUAUUAUAGGUUGCCGAACGUUUUCACCUCCUGGGGAAAAUGGUGCGUUAAAAAUGCAAAUCAUCAUUUAUACAGAACGGAUCAUCUAUUAAAAGAGUUCACCAUUGCAGAAGAACAGUUGCACCACUUUCAUCUUUGUUACCAGGAAGUAUGUUGUAUUUUUUACAAAUUGAAGGAAAGAUCCUCCAUCAGCAAGAAGAUUGCAACUUGCUUUAUUGCGAUACUUUAUUGAAGUGGUCUGGAACUGAAUUCACAGUAUCUCCAAGGACUUGGAAGGGGUUGACUAGAUAUGUUCUCUGUAUCUGGCUACUCUUAUACUGCUGUGUCAAAGAAGCACAACAGACCACUGAUAACAAGAGAGGAAUGCAAUCCUGCACUGUUGGCAAUCUUUGGGUAACUAAAGAUUCUCCUGGCUAUCAUCACUCAAAGAAGAGGUUUGACAGUCAAAUUUCCCAAUACUUUAGAAAUAUCUAUUUUUUUCACCUGUUAUAAUUUAUUGCAUAGAAAAAAAUCUGGAUGAAUAAACAUGUUAAUAGUGUGCAUACUCCAUAUUCAUUCUCCAAAGGAAUGAGAUCACUGGAGAGAGAGUUCCAUUUUAACUUUACACUCUUUGCAGUGUGUCCUCGCUGGUUGGGCUCAGUGGUUAGGGCUGAGGGGUUUCGGGUUCAAUUCAUGUCAAGGUCACGUACCUCGAUUGCAGGUCCUGG